GUGACUCUGGGCAGAUCCUUGGAUACAUUCUAAAGUAUCUAGGCAAGUGUUCUUUCAUUAUUAGAGAAAAUUAAGUAAAGGGACUCUACAUCAAGACAGUGCUGCUAGCCACCAGCUAGCCAGAGAAGUGGUGACUCGUGCAAAACCACCAAGAAGAGCCCCCCAUCUUACAUCCUUAGAGAGAUCUUGGGACAGAGAAGCAGUGCAAUCUCAGAAGAGAGGACAUGGCCUUUGCCCUUUAUGCUAGAGAUCAACUCCCUGAAUGCGUAGCAGUUCCUCCUCGCACUGAGGUGACAGCAUAAUGUGUGAUGGUGGCCCUCUCUCUGUGUGUUCAAAUCCAACUCUAUCUCAAUGCACAGUUAGGUCCUAUUUUCUCUGAGAAGCCUGGCCUGAUGGAUUUCACAGCUCAUAGGACUGACCUGACAGCCAACAGCUGGGAAGGAGAUGGAAGCCAGAAGUCUGGGCAGAGGUAAGGACUCCAAGAGAAGAACCAAGAGGCAGAAGAUUCUCCAAUGAACACAAGAUGGGCAGAUGGACUAGAACUAAGCAAAAGAAGACUUGACCCCAUGGCUGGAUGUGGUGCCAGGAUUAAUUGGAUUAGAGUAGUUGGGAAACAGCCAGGCAAAAGGCCGAAAAUUUAAAAUAUUAAUAAACCUCUGUGUCAUUAUUUAUAUCACUGAUAGUUCCAAGAUAGUCCUGGUAUACCAGCUUAUGUAGGCAGUUUGUUGAAAAAAGUAGGAGAUGUAAAUUACACCCUCCCUCAUUAACCAAAUCAACAAAGAAUAAUGCCAGUUCAUGUCAUGGUAUCCAGAAAGGAAUAAACAUGGCUCCCUG
rnacentral:lncRNA from 1 species